rnacentral:ncRNA from 1 species
UUUUUGGAGAGUUUGAUCCUGGCUCAGGACGAACGCUGGCGGCGUGCUUAACACAUGCAAGUCGAACGAAAAUACCAAGCUUGCUUGGUUGAUUAGUGGCGAACGGGUGAGUAACACGUGAGUAACCUGCCCCUUACUUUCCUGGAUAACUGCUCGAAAGGGUAGCUAAUACGGGAUAUUCUGGCCUUCCUGCAUGGGUUGUUUGGAAAGGUUGUUUUUCUGGUAAGGGAUGGGCUCGCGGCCUAUCAGCUUGUUGGUGGGGUGAUGGCCUACCAAGGCUUUGACGGGUAGCCGGCCUGAGAGGGUGGACGGUCACACUGGGACUGAGAUACGGCCCAGACUCCUACGGGAGG